rnacentral:rRNA from 1 species
GUGGGGAAUAUUGGACAAUGGGCGAAAGCUUGAUCCAGCCAUGCCGCGUGUGUGAAGAAGGUCUUCGGAUUGUAAAGCACUUUAAGUUGGGAGGAAGGGCAGUAAGUUAAUACCUUGCUGUUUUGACGUUACCAACAGAAUAAGCACCGGCUAACUUCGUGCCAGCAGCCGCGGUAAUACGAAGGGUGCAAGCGUUAAUCGGAAUUACUGGGCGUAAAGCGCGCGUAGGUGGUUCAGCAAGUUGGAGGUGAAAUCCCCGGGCUCAACCUGGGAACUGCCUCCAAAACUACUGAGCUAGAGUACGGUAGAGGGUAGUGGAAUUUCCUGUGUAGCGGUGAAAUGCGUAGAUAUAGGAAGGAACACCAGUGGCGAAGGCGACUACCUGGACUGAUACUGACACUGAGGUGCGAAAGCGUGGGGAGCAAACAGGAUUAGAAACCCGGGUAGUCC